GCGUAUCGAUGUGGGUGUACUUGUACGGGUAUGUGUCGAUUCUGGUGAUGAGCAACACAGUCUUCUUCCUAACUGGUAGCCUAUGUUCUCAUCUCUUCUCACAACGACCCCAUGUUGAAGCGAUCCAGGGAGAACAACCGCGAGAGGAUGUGGCUGUAUCUCAAGCUGUUCCUGGUGAUGGGUAUCACCUGGCUGGCUGAUGUUAUCUCCUAUGAACAUGGUUCAUGUGCUGGCUGGAUGCCGACGGAUAUCAUCAACGGUCUCCAGGGCCUCACCAUCUUCCUGGUUUUUGUCUGCAAGAGAAGCACACUCCGCAAG